AUCGGUUUUCGGUUUUUAUUUGGAUUGGUUUGGAUUUGAGCACCCCUAAAAAUGGGUGUUAUGGAUUUGUUCCUUUUCAAUUUUAGGAAAAUUAAAUUUUAUGUUUUUUUGUUUUUGAUGUCUUGUACCAAUUCCAAAAAAAAAAAUCAAAAAAUAAAUAAUUUUCUUGGUGGAAAAGAAAAGUAAGAAAGAAAACAAAAAUGACAUAAUCAGGGACCAAUUUGUUUCUCAAUUAAUUUAACAAAAGAACCAUCAACAAAUCUUCUUAAUCCUACAAACUUUUCACAUCUAUCACCUACAUUUUCUAUCCUUCCUUUUUUUCCUCCUUCUAAAAUUAAACCCAACAUUUUCUCAGAUUUACAUUUUCCACCCCAAAAUCU
rnacentral:lncRNA from 1 species